rnacentral:misc_RNA from 1 species
AUGAAAGCUUGAUUUCAAACUUUUCUAAACCCCCAAAUUAACCAUAAAAUUCCCCAAAUUUCUUGAUAAAUCUUGCUUUUGCAACUAGAUAAGAAGAUUGAAGGAGAAAAGAAAGGAAGAAAGUGAGAGAAUUAGAGAAUUGGAGUCCAAAGAAAGAGGUUAGUAGUUGUUUCUUAAUUCUCUCUUUUAAUUCAUGUUCAAG